UUAGCAGUUUAGACAAACAUCAAAUUCAUAAUGUAGACUAGUUGGACAAAAUAAUGCUUAACAACUGUUCCAUUACUGUGUGAACUGUUUUAGGGGUCGACUGUAUGAGAUAUUGUUCUCCCGCUUGCUGCUGGAAGUAGGGUGACAGUUCUGUUCACAUCGCUGACAUUUGUCACAGCACGUGUUCUUCUGCUCCGUGCGGAAGCAGCCCUCUUGUGUGGCCUCGACAACAGCACUGCAUGCAGGCUCUUGCUCUUCUCUUCAGCUGAAGAUGAGUCAAAGUGCAAUACCGAAACCAAAAGAAGUACACCAAAAUUCCAGAAGCUUGUUUUGACAUCUUCAUCACUGAAGGC